GGGUGCCUAAUGUAGAGUCCAAUUUGGUUAGGACUCUAUCAAGUCAAGCGCACAAAGGGAUGAGGCUGAAGUGUUUGAUUGAUUUUGAACUCUUAAAGCUCUUGUUUAAUCUAAGUUCAAUUUCAAUCUAGAAGAACUCUUAACCCUCCAUCAAUGUGGCACAAAGUUUAAAGUUUGUAGUGGCUUGAUGGGGUGUGAGAUGCCCUUAAUUUCUCUACGCACGU
rnacentral:lncRNA from 1 species